UUCAGCUCAUUUCAAGACUCGUGGAUCUCUAUUUUUCUACCUUUCUUCGUCCAUUGAAUGCUCCAUCUUUCUUGUAUGGUUCAUCUAAGCAAUAAUGAGACCACGAUGUCGAUAGUACUACAGGCUGUCAAUGAAGUUUCUUCCUUGUUGCUUGCCAAUCUGAUUAUACGAGGGGAUGCUUAUGCCUACUCGAACCUUGAGGACAAGGUUCUUAUUGGAGUUGGGAGUAUUGUUAUGAAUGGUCCUAGACAAGUAUUGGACAAGCGGCCCAAUACCGAAUUAAGUGUCGAUGUGGGAUCCGGGUUGAUAAAUAAGGAAUAGUGAGAGCAAAAGAGGGUUAUGAAGAUUGUUGAGAAAAAUGUCUACCCUCUCAUCCCCUUUCUAUGAGUUCUACUUCUCAUCCCCUUUCUUCUACUUGUGUUCUUCAAUUUCUUUUUAGUUCUUAAAUUCCUUUGUAAUUCUAAUUUCGAGUUAGUGAAAUAGAUUUGUCGGGUGUUUGAAUUUGAA